UGUAUAGAUCAGAGGUUAGAGUUUGUUAGGAGGUUAGAUGUCACUUUCAUGGUGACGUCAGCUAAGAUGCUCAGUAGAGAAAGAGAUUAGCAGCAUGAAAGAAGAGCAAAGCAUAACCAAAACCCAACUCCAAACCUUGGUAGAAAAAUACCAAGUUUGCAAAAAGGAGUUAGAAUCCAUCCAGAUCACAUGUGAGAGAUGGGUGGAAUCAUGCAAAGGGUAUGAGGUUAUGCUUGAGAAACAGAUAAAAAGCAAUGUGAAAUUUGGGGUUGGUUAUAGAAAACAUGAUGAUGAAAACACUGCUUUUGGAAAAUCUGUUUCAACCACUGAUGUAACUGCUGAGUUCAUCCCCACAAACAAGAAUGGCCAAGAAGUGAAAAUCACUGACAAACUUGGUAACAAAAUCACACUUGACAGACCAAUGGGCCCCUCUGCUUUUGAGGAGAUUGAAAAUCAUCAAUUUAAACCAAAAUGGUCUGAUGAGUGUGAUAUUCUUGAAAAUUUCAAGCCAAUGGACUUUACAUCAACUGAUGGUGUUAAAGCUCCAAA
rnacentral:lncRNA from 1 species